rnacentral:tRNA from 1 species
AGAGUUUUAGUUUAGUUAAAAUGUCUGUGUUGCAAGCAGAAGAUGUGAUUUGUUGCAAACUCUC